UGUAGGAAGUGUCAUAAGGUGGGAAAGAAACUAACAUUCUCAGUGCACUUGCCAAAUGCCAGAUGUUAGGCUGAGAGUUCACUGAAGUCUUGUAACCAGAAGAACAAUGUGAUGGAAAUAGCCCCUUGGGAAAAUCACCUUGGCUGGGCUUUGUCGGGUUGGUGAGCAAAGGCUAGGGGAAGAAAUGCCACUUCAAAACCAUUUAACUCCUUGUUACUUCCAUGCUGCUUACCGGGCUAAGCACAAUGGGCUGGGCCUCAGAACUUCCCAGAGAGCUUCCCUGCCCAUGAGUUCAUCCUGCCCCCAUGCUGUCCCCACAGGGCAGAGGGAAGAAAAGAUAUGUCUUACAGACCUCCCAGUCCACAUGCCCAUUGUACAGACAGGGAAGCCAAGACCAGGGAGUGCCAAGUCUCCUGCUUCUCAGCCCAUGCUCUCUUUUCCCCUGCCAGCCCGCUGAACCUACAUGUGGCUUUCCAUGUGGGAAUCACCAAUGGUCAGGGGCUGGGGCUAGGAGCGUGGAGAGUCUCCAGAAGGCUACCAUUACCAUGGGGAGCAGCCUGGAGCUGGCCAGAGGUCAACAGGCCUUUAGAAGUUAAGCAACUCCUCAUUAGCAACGUGGGUGAGGUCCUCCGGGCCAUUACUCUGCUGUGUGUGGACGCCAAGCAGAAUGCUCUUCAGGCUAACCCAAUAUGCUGACUGCUCCGUGGAAGUCCAGGAAUGCCACCUCUAUCCCCAUGCACCUCUGCCUUCCCUCACCUGCACCCCUUCACUCUAUCAUCAAGGUUGUACAGCAUCUGCGUUGGUGACAAAGCACAGACUUAGGGCUGUUUUGGAGGCUGGAUGGGUUCUUAAAAAGAAAACAAGAAAAACACAAAACCCAUCAAAGCCACUAGAAGAGGAGGAGUUGCUGAACCUAAGAAACCAAGUUCUAGAGAUGCCGGGUCUGGUGUGAAUAAGGGAAAAAUGCAAAAAUCCAAAAGGCAAGGUCCAAGAAACAUUUCUCCCACUGAGUGUGCUAUGAAAAGAAAGGGCACAAAGAGGUGGAUGGGAAGGAACUCCAGGGUACCCACAGCCAGUAUGGGGGUUGACCUCCAGCCACCAUUAAUUUUCCUGAACAGAAUCUGAUUUUCAGUGACCCAGGAAGUGCCCCAUGACUUUCAAAAUGUUAAAUCCUACAAGAAGGAACCUCUUAUUUCUGAGCUUUGAUUACUCAUUUGUCAAAAGAGAAUAACAACCCCCACCCUACCCACUUCACAAGAGUGAGGUGGGGCCCCAUAAGGAGGAAACAAGCUCUGAGACACCAUAGGCCUUGCCUUGGCCAAUGUGGAGCGUGUCUCACUGCCUGUUAGGAUAUUUGUAUUUUAUAAAGAGAGGAGCAUGGGUUAGAAUUCUGGCUUCACACACGCUGUGUGAAUUUGGAAAAAUAACUAUUUCUCUGAGCCAACUUCCUCAUCUGUAGAAUGAGAAAGUUGAUAGCUCUCUUGAAGUUUGAGCAAAGAUUAGAAAAAUGUCUAUACAGCCUUUAGGAGAAUAUCUAGCAUAUAGAGAGCAUUCAGUAAAUGGGAGUUGUUAUAAUUCCUAACCAUGAAAAAGAGAUUCUACACACUCCUGCCUUUAGCCUUUAGAAAAGGGAAGUAGUAGAGCUCUUGGGUUGGCCAAAUAAAAACCACACACACGGGCACAUACUUUUCUGAAAGAAUUUAUUAGGCAUCCUGGGAGCAUUAAGAGCUGCUACUAUACACCGAGCCCUCUUCUAGGGUGGGCACGGUGCUCAGCACUCUGGCUUGUGUUAUGGCAUUCACAGACACUGCAGGAGGUAGAGAGGAUCCCAUCUCCAUUCUACAGAGCAGAGCGCUGUGACUCAGUGAGGUUACAGACAUUGCUUCAGGGUAUAGAAGCCACCAAGCCCUAGACCCCGGCAACCUUGCAGGUGGCUCAGGAAGAAGGCUGGGCUUUGUCCCCACCUCGCAGCUCCCAGCACACUGGAGGGUGGCGGCACACAAGCGCCCUCCAGCCUUUACCCCAGCUGGGCCAGGCAUGCCAUGGCAAUGCCCCCACCUCCAAGGUUGGCCACGGGUGAGCCUCUUCCAGGAAGUUAACAAGCACCCACCAGGCUGUCUGGCCACAGAUGAAGAAGCAGCACAAAGCUGCAUGGGCACUGGCCUGGCCUCAGCCUGGGCUCCCGAGGCCAGCAGUCACUGCCACUGGCCAACGCCCUGAGGGAUGGGGCAUUGCAGAGGAAAGCAGGGGCAUCCAACCACUGGGAGCCAGAGGGUUCUAGGAAGGCCAACCAUGGCCCACCUUUGCCUUCAGAAUCGCAGCCUACAUUUGUAUCAGCAAUGAGCUCCGGGCUCUCUGGUAUCACCCCCAGGGGUUUAACAGGCCAGGUCAGGCCUGCAAAGAUCUACGACUGCCUGGAGCUGACCACCUUAACAACCUGCUCUCCAAAGGCCAGCCCACCCAGAGGCCCAGGCUUCUCACUGCCCUGCCCCCCUUCUUCCAGGCUUCACGGCAUUGCCCUGCUGUGACACCAACAUCUCCAGCUCACUUUAGAGAAGAGAGGGAAUCGAAAACAUAUGAGCCAUGUGGAAGGGGCAAGGAGCCCACUGUUUUUGCAAUGUGCCAAAUCCACACGACAGAGGGCGCAAGCCAGAGGGCUCCAAAGAGGACUUCCUGUAGGCUGCGACCAAAAUGGGUGUGGCUGCUCAGCCCUGAGCCAGGUGACCUGCCUCUCCCAGGCAGGCCUGAGAGGUCUCUUUCCAGGUGCCGGGCCUGUCCACCUCGGUCCCCAGCAGCUCAGGGCUAGGUACUCCCAUAGCACACUUCUCCCUCCUGUCUUCUUGCCCUCUCCCAUGUCAGAGCCAGGGAAGAGAGGUCCAGGUGAGAGAGAGGGAGACACAGAGCUUCUCACCAUCAAGAAUGAGCAUGAAGAAAGACUUGCCCAAAACGUGGAACAACUUGGUGGCCACUGCCUGCCCUGACUCCCGGUCUACCA
rnacentral:lncRNA from 1 species